rnacentral:rRNA from 1 species
AUACGAAGGGGGGCUAGCGUUGCUCGGAAUGGACUGGGCGUAAAGGGCGUGUAGGCGGUUUUACACAGUCAGAUGUGAAAUCCCCGGGCUUAACCUGGGAGCUGCAUUUGAUACGUGUAGACUAGAGUGUGAGAGAGGGUUGUGGAAUUCCCAGUGUAGAGGUGAAAUUCGUAGAUAUUGGGAAGAACACCGGUGGCGAAGGCGGCAACCUGGCUCAUGACUGACGCUGAGGCGCGAAAGCGUGGGGAGC